AGAGUUUGAUCCUGGCUCAGGAUGAACGCUGGCGGCGUGCCUAAUACAUGCAAGUCGAACGAGGUGCUUUUGUAGCAAUACGAGAGUAUCCUAGUGGCGAACGGGUGAGUAACGCGUUGGUGACUCCCCAAAGUGUGGGAUAACAGUCCGAAAGGAUUGCUAAUACCGCAUGUGGUCUUCGGAUUUAGAAACUGAUGACUAAAGGAGCAAUUCGCUUUGGGAGGGACCUGCGUCCCAUCAGCUAGUUGGUGAGGUAAUGGCUCACCAAGGCUACGACGGGUAGGGGACCUGAGAGGGUGACCCCCCCACAAUGGAACUGAAACACGGUCCAUACACCUACGGGUGGCAGCAGUAGGGAAUAUUGCACAAUGGGCGAAAGCCUGAUGCAGCAACGCCGCGUGUGCGAUGAAGGCCUUCGGGUCGUAAAGCACUUUUCUGGGAGAUGAGCAAGGACAGUAUCUCAGGAAUAAGUCUCGGCUAACUACGUG
rnacentral:rRNA from 1 species